rnacentral:rRNA from 1 species
UACGUAGGGGGCAAGCGUUGUCCGGAAUCAUUGGGCGUAAAGCGCGUGUAGGCGGCUCUGUAAGUCUGCUGUGAAAGUCCAGGGCUCAACCCUGGGAUGCCGGUGGAUACUGUCGAGCUCGAGUCCGGAAGAGGCGAGUGGAAUUCCUGGUGUAGCGGUGAAAUGCGCAGAUAUCAGGAGGAACACCAAUGGCGAAGGCAGCUCGCUGGGACGUGACUGACGCUGAGACGCGAAAGCGUGGGGAGCAAACAGG